rnacentral:lncRNA from 1 species
UUAGACAUUCCUCGAAUAUGGUUGUCAUGAAUAGAUGUCUUCUAUUGUGAGCUUUGGAAAAUUCAUAUAUAUUCUAUUCUAGGUUGGAAAUAUGAUUCAAGCAGAAUCAGACCCGCUGAUGGAGCUUUCAAAUCACGCAAGUAUUUAUGGUAGAUAAUUUGUUUUGAGAUUCUGUUCUUUCAGAGCUCGUCAUUGCUUUCUCUCUCCCUGCCUCAAGCAUGUAAGCACAAGACGUCCUAGUAUUUUUAGUCCCUGGCUUAUGGUAGGUUUUGCUAUGCAGAAAUGGGCUGAGAUUAUACACUAGGCACGUCAAAGUGUUGAUUUCUUGAAGGACCAAGUUGUGAUCAGGGAUGUGCUUAAUAUAUUGCAGGCGAGUUAUUUUGUUUAAUAUUGUACAAGUUUUUUAUUUUUCUUUUCCUUUGUUGUCAGCUACUGAGUGAGGGGUUUUCUUUGACACUCAGUUAACCAUCUUUGUAGGAGUUUUAUCAUUUAUGUUAUUUAUAUGUAUCAUUGUUGCUUCGCAGACAAAUACUAGUGUUGUUACCACCACCCUCACUCGGUGUCAAUAUCAAUUUCUUGGUUGUAAUAGUGGGUGAUAUGAUCCGAUAUUAUAUUAAAUUUAAUACCCUCAAACAACAUUUGAAUUAUACUUAAGAGGGCUGCAACUAUUUUCUUAUGCUUUUUAUGUUUUGAAUCCUCUUUCACGAAAGGAUGUAACUCGAACAAAUGUCGUGUAGCUUUGAUAAGUCUACUUUUAGUAAGGGGUAACCUCUCUCUCUCAAUCUCUCAAUUUCUCCCGUAUAAACUAAGAUUGUAUGGCUUAUAAGCACAGGAGAAGUAUAGCCUAUGCUAAAUGUGGUUCUGCUAAACCCUAUCCACGGAUUAUUUUUAAAUAAAUCGCAUAUGUCGAUCAAAACUUGCGAAUGAAUUUCAUUCGUCAUGGCGAAAUAAUAUUUAUCAGCUAUAGGAGAAAUUUAUUGGAGAUGGUACUUCGCACAAACCCUACAAAGGAUCGAGUGGAGAGUUUAUGGUGGGGGCAUGUAUUGGAACAACUGAAUUGGAUAAGUAGUGAUUGGAGCAUUUGGCAGGGGCGGAUGUGAUAGUGCUGGAUAAUUCUCGAGGUGGUGACGAUGUACCAAGAGCAGAAUUUUCUGAUGGGUUGAGAGUUGGGAUGGAUCGGGUUUACGCAGGAAAUCUGUGUCGUAGGGUGUGGUCAGGUCAAUAAUGUGAUUACUAAUUCAAUUUGAAAUAUCACUUGAUGAAUUACUAUCUUGUAAAAGUCAUGUGAUAUGGAACUUCAUUUGUUUGAUAUGUUUAAAAUUUUAUGGAGAGUGAAAAUAUGAAAUGUUAUACAAGGAUUUGCUCUGCCUUGUUUAGUGUUUAGUUGGGCAAUUCCGUAUUUUUUUUUUCUUUCAUUGGGAUUUUUGGACUAAUUUAUGGUCAUACUUCCCUUGAAAGAUUGAAGCAAUCCAUCAUCUGUAAGAUUUGUUACACUCUCAAAUAUAGUUAUGAUUACAACAACAUUCAAACUGGUGAAGUACUUCGAUUAUUGUUGAUAAAAACAAAUCAUCAUUUUACCAGAUAUACUAACUACUUUUUCCAGAUCCAGAUAUGACUUUAACUUAAUCCACAAAGACUUCUUAAGAAAUCACUAUUGAAUUAAUGUCAAAAAAUAAGUGGUAAAAUACAAAACAUUAAAAAUUAAUGCAAGUACUACUAGAGUAGGAUCAACUUCCCCCUGAAUAGUGUUUAAUAUUGAUAUGUAUUUUACUUGAGCAGCUUCUUUUGUUUGAGCAUUAGAGGAAACCAUGAUAUUCUCUGUCUACAGAAGAGAAUACUGUCAGGAAACUCAUAUCCGCGAAUUACUAAAGCAAUUUCUAAGCAAUGCAUAUCUUACCUGAUCACAUCUAGUACAAUGGUUUUACGAAUCAUAUUAGCCUGUCAAAAAUAGUAUUUCUAUCGGUCUGCAGCUUUGAUAUUUAGAUGGAUGAUUGAAUUAUCAAUUAAUAUAAUGACACACCAAAAUAAUCAAUAUACAUACCAUAACUAAAUAUUAUUCCUUAUUCUCUACAAAUAAGGAGACCUGUCUAAAUAUUAUUCCUUAGUAUAUUUAGUCACAUUUUCAAGGGUAAAAAAGAAAGGGAAGUUUGUAAUUUUUAUCUACUAUUCGAAUCACUACUUCUUUGCUUGCAUCUACUUCCUCCUUCUAGGCUAACACAAUAUCUACAUUAAAGUAAUUGCUCAAAUUUAAAUAGCCAUAUGGUAAGGGAAUCAAACCAUUAUAUGAUUGUACCAAAUGCAUUCCUUCUAUUCAAACACAAAACCUCAUGGUUGUUGGUAAGCUAUUCCCUUGAACUGGGUAAUGCAUUGUUAUAAGAUAAUUUCAUAAAUAAAGCUGGCAGCGUUCAUUCUAACCUCAAGGGUACACUGAAAAGCAGCUUCAAAUAUGCGAGGGACAUCCUCUAUCAUUGCUCCCAGAAAUGUGACAAUGAGCUUAAGGGUUUCCCUCUUUACGGAGCUGUUUAAAACAAAACAAAAUACAAAACAAAAAAAAUGUUGAUAAUAGUGUAACAUCAUAUACCAAGUCCACAACUGAAUUUGGUUAGUUGACCUCACCAUAAAAGCUUUACAAAAGAAGUCCUUGAAGCAUAUGGAUCUCCUUCUGCAAUGUUGGCUGAUAUAAGCUCACUGGACAUUCUGAUAGGCAGUAAAAAUUUAAGGGACCACGCAUUAGUUAUUGAAAAAAAGUCCUUGAACAUUAUAAGUCUCUGAAGCCCAACCAUUAAAUAGACUUUAUAUAGCUGAAUGUAUAGAAUAAUAAUUUAGUUUGGAAGCAUACCUAUAUACAUUAAGCAUGUCCAAAAAGAUUUGAGAAAUUUGUGACAAGAAAUAUGUUCCAAGAGAAGCAGCAACACUUGUAUUCAUCUGCGAAGAAGCAAUGAUACAUAUAAAUAACAUAAAUGAUUAAACUCAUACAAAGAAGGUUAAUCGAGUGUCAAAGAAAACCCCUCACUCCUCAGUAGCUGACAACAGAGGAAAAGAAAAUUAAAAAACUUGUGCAAUAUGAAACAAAAUAACUCACCGGCUAUUAAGCACAACCCUGGUCACAUCACAACUUGGUCCUUCAAGAAAUCCACACUUUGACGUGUCUGACCUAUAAUCUCAAGCCCAUUUCUGCAUAGCUACCAUAAGCCACUAAAGAUACUAGGACGUCUUGUGCUUACAUGCUUGAGAGAGAGCAAUGACGAGCUCUGAAAGAACAGAAUUCGAAAACAAAUUAUCUACCAUAAAUAUUUGUCUGAUUUGGAAGCUCCGUCGGUCUCUGCAGAUAUUCAUCUCUCUUCGUGGCAAAUUUCUCCUUAAACUCGAACUAAAUUAAAUUCAUCCAUAAACCCUAACUUCCAAUCGGAUCCCAACCACAGUAAUCGGAAAUCCUUAAACCCUAACAUCUCAAUUCUCAAUUCAUCCGAUUUCUCCCAAUAGCUUCGACUUUUGGUUCCCGACUCGGUGACAAAAAUACAAGGCGAGGGACAUUCGUAGGCUUUCAGAAAAUCUCCAGUCUACAAUAUAGAUUAGAUGUUAGUUUGCACUUUUUAUUUCAGCAAAUUCCUAUUUUGAUUUGGGCCAGCGAACGAGCCGAGUAUUACACAAUUGACCACAAUUUUCUGCUCAACUUGACUAGCACAACUGAUUACCAACCCUCUUAGGGUUUGUGCGAAAUACAAUCUCCAAUAAAUUUCUUGCAAACCAUACUACUGUAAGUAUUCUUCCUCCCAAAACUGAUAAAUAUUAUUUCAUCAUAAUGUCUGAUGACGAAUGAAAUUCAUGCUGUUUUGAUCGACAUAGGCAACUUAUACUUGAUUGUCUAGAGUAUCGUUCGUGGAUAGGGUUUAGCAUAACCACAUUCAGCUUAGUCUACCCUUCUCCGGUGCUACAUCCUGUUAUAUAGAAGUAGACAUAGAAAACAUAAGAAGAUAGUUACAGCCCUACUAUGUAUUAUUCAAAUGUUGUGUGAGGGUAUUAGAUUUAAUAUAAUAGCGGAUCAUAUCAGCCACUAUUACAAUCAAGAAAUUGAUAUUGAUAUCGACACCGAGGGUGAGGGUGGUGGUCAGGUUAUUAGAAAGGAGCUUGUAGGUCUUACAACAACUCUGGGGAAAAAUAUUAUAUUUUUCUUCAUAGUUACAAGCUCCUUUCUAAGGAGCUAACCACUACUCAAUAUAAACUUCUUGGUUGUAUAUGAUCCGAUAUUAUAUUAAAUAUAAUACACAGAACAUCUGAAUUAUACAUAAGAGGGCUGCAACUAUCUCUUCUUAUAGUUUUUAUGUCUCGAAUCGUACUUCACGAAAGAAUUUAGGUCGAACAAAUAUAGUGUAGCUUUGAUCACACUGCUUUUAGUAGGGGUAACCUCUCUCCAUUAAUUACUCAUGAAUAAACUAAGUUUCCAUGGCCGUUAUAACCAUCGGAGAAGGGUAGCCUAUGCACUGUGGAUGUGGUUCUGCUAAAACCUAUCCACCGACGAUUUUCAAAUACUCUAUAGGCAACUAAGUAUAAGUCGCAUAUGUUGAUCAAAACUUGAACAUGAAUUUCAUUCGUCAUCAACAUUAUGGUAAAAUAAUACUUAUCAGCUUUAGGAGGAAGAAUCGUUACAGUAGUAUGGUUUGUGAGAAAAAUUUUCGGAGAUGGCACUUCGCACAAAUCCUACGAAGGGUUGGUAAUCAGUUGUGCUAGUCAAGUUGAGCAGAAAAUUGUGCUCAAUUGUAAUAAUCGGCCAAAUGAGAAGAAAGAACAAUAUUUGGCCCAAAUAAAAAUAGGAAUUUGCUGAAAUAAAAAUCGCAAACUAAUAUCUAAUCUAUAUUAGAUUGGAGAUUUGCUGAAAGCCUACAAAUGUCCAUCUUCUCGCCUUGCAUUUUUCGUCUCCUCGCCUUGCAUUUUCGUCACGGAUGAAUUGUGAAUUGAGAAUUGAGAAGUUAGGAUUUAAGGAUAUAAGUUAGGCUUUAAGGAUGAAUUUAAUGAAGUUCGGGUUUAAGGAGAAAUCCAAUUGGGAGCUGGUGAAUUGAGAAGUUAGGGUUUAAGGAUUUCCGAUUACGGUGGUUGGGAUCGAGUGGGGAGUUUAUGGUGGGGGCAUGUAUUGGAAAAAGUGAAUCGAAUAAGGGGAUUGGAGCAUUUGGAUUCUCCAGGUGGUGACGAUGUACCAAGAGCAGAAUUUGAUAUGUAUUUUACCUAAGCAGCUUCUUUUGUUCGAGCGUUAAGAGGAAACCAUGAUAUUCUUUGUCUACAGAAGAGAAUACUAUCAGGAAACUCAUAUCCGUGAAUUAGCAAUUUCUAAGCAACGCAUAUCUUACCUGAUCACAUCUAGUACAGUGGUUUUACGAAUCAUAUUAGCCUGCCAAUAAUAGUAUUUCUAUCAGUCUGCAGCUUUGAUAUUUAGAUGGAUGAUUGAAUUCUCAAUUAAUACAAUGACACACCAAAAUAGUCAAUAUCCAUACCAUAACUAAAUAAGCACCAUCAUACUUCUCUACAAAUAAGAGACCAGUCUAAAUAUUAUUCCUUAGUAUAUUUAGUCAUAUUUUCAAGGGUAAAAAAGAAAGGGAAGUUUGUAAUUUUUAUCUACUAUUCGAAUCACUACUUCUUUGCUUGCAUCUACUUCCUCCUCCUCCUUCUAGGCUAACACAAUAUCUACAUUAAAGUAAUUGCUCCAACUUAAAUUCUUUUUCCUUUCUCUCUAUCCAGAUUAGUAUGAUAGCAUAACUAUCUCAUUUUUAUCUAGCUUCAAUUGUAUAUAUUUAAAUGUCACAAUUUUGUGAAAGGAUCUUAAAUAGCCAUAUGGUGAGGGAAUCAAACCUUUAUAUGAUUGUUCAGGUAAUAUUUACUUUAGCCUUUUUUUUGUAUCGUUGUUGCUUACUUCUUCUGCUCGACAGUAUUCAUCCAUAUUAACUGAUGUUGUUUUCUUUUCAGGUUGGAGAAAAUGAACCUUUUGUGUCUGAACUUCUGACUACUCUUCCAACUACCAUUGCGGAUCUCGAGCCUCAUCAAAUUCAUACAUUUUACGAAUCAGUAAGCCUAUACAUUUAUUUAUUUAUUAUUUUUAAUAAUACACACAAUAGACAAUUAGACAUUCCUCGAAUAUGAUUGUCAUGAAUAGAUGUCUUCUAUUGUGAGCUUUGGAAAAUUCAUAUAUAUUCUAUUCUAGGUUGGAAAUAUGAUUCAAGCAAAAUCCGACCCGCUGAUGGAGCUUCCAAAUCAGGCAAGUAUUUAUGGUAGAUAAUUUGUUUUGGGAUUAUGUUCUUUCAGAGCUCGUCAUUGCUCUCCCUGCCUCAAGCAUGUAAACAUAAGACGUCCUAGUAUCUUUAGUCACUUGCUUAUGGUAGGUUUUGCUAUGCAGAAAUGGGCUGAGAUUAUACGCUAGGCACGUAAAAGUUUGGAUUUCUUGAAGGACCAAGUUGUGAUCAGGGUUGUGCUUAAUAUAUUGCAGGCAUGUUAUUUUGUUUAAUAUUAAGUUUUUUAUUUUUCUUUUCCUUUGUUGUCAGCUACUGAGUGAGGGGUUUUCUUUGACACUCAGUUAACCUUCUUUGUAGGAGUUUCAUCAUUUAUGUUAUUUAUAUGUAUCAUUGCUGCUUCGCAGACAAAUACUGGUGUUGCUGCUUCUCUUUCUUGUCACAAAUUUCUCUAAUCUUUUUGGACAUGCUUAAACAUGAUCUAUAUAGGAAAAAAAAUUCCGAUGAUGAAAAAUGCAUACUUGCUCUUCCAUCAUAGAUCCAGACAUCAAUCCAAUUACCCCGCAAAAUGUGUUCAGGUUGUUCCAUGUCCAAUCCUCCCCAUUUAGUUAUUUACUUAAUUUCUUCGACAUCUAUAGUAUCCCAAAUAUAAAGAGCACGACUUUAAAAAAAAAAAAGUUAAAUACAUUUUGGAUUGAGCUGAUAGAAUACAAAUAAAGGACUUACUAUUAGCAGAAACAAAAAUGUACGACAUCGACCACCACCUUCACAAACCAUAUUACUGUAAAGAUUAUUCUUCCUAAAGUUAAUAAAUAUUUUAGUAUAAUGUUCAUGACUAAUGAAAUUUAUGCUCAUGUUUUGAUUGACAUAUGUGACUUAUACUUUGUUGUCUAUGGAGUAUUUGAAAAUCGUCGGUGGAUAGGUUUUAGCAGAACCACAUCCACAGUGCAUAGACUACCUUUCUCCGUUGCUUAUACCGGCGAGAGAAAUUGAGGGAGAGAGGUAACCCUUACAAGGAAUAGAUUGAUCAAAUCUACUGUUCGAGCUAGAUUGUUAGUAAGAAGCUUGUAGGCCUACAAUAACUCUGGGAAAAAAUAUCAACUGAACUCCCAAAAAUAUAUAUUUUUGUAUUUUGCUAAUAUUUUUCUCUAGAAUUGUUGUAAGCCUAUAAGCUUCUUUCUAAAAACCUGACCACCAAACUUCUUUCUAAAAACCUUACCACCACCCUCACAAUUAGUGUCAAUUUUUUGGUUAUAAAAGUGAAUGAUAUGAUCCGAUAUUAUAUUAAAUCUAACAUCCCUGCACAAUAUUUGAAUUAUACAUAAGAGGACGUCGCAACUAUUUCUUCUGAUUCUAUGUAUCGAAUCGUCCUUUACGAAAGGAUGUAGCUCGAACAAAUGUCGUGUAACUUUGAUCAAUCUACUUCUAGUAAGGGUAACCUCACUCUUAAUUCCUCCCGUAUAAACUAAGUUUCUUGUAUAAACUAAGUUUCCAUGGUCGAUAUAAGCAUCGAAAAAGGGUAGCCUAUGCACUGUAAAUCUGGUUCUGCUAAAUUCUAUCAACGGAAGAUUUUCAAAUACUCUAUAGGAAAUCAAGUAUAAGUCGUAUAUGUCGAUCAAAACUUGAGUACGAACUUCAUUCGCCAUCAACAUUAUGGUGAAAUAUUUAUCAGCUUUAGGAGAAAAAAAGCUUACACUAGUAUGGUUUGGUUUGUGAGGAUGGUGGUCGAUGUCGUACAUUUUUGAUUGUUUCUGCUAAUAGCAAGUAUUUUAUUUGGGAUAUUAUAGAUGUUGAAGAAAUUAAGUAAACAAAAUAUGCUAUUUAUCUUUCUUUUCAGUCUCCCCAUCUCCCUCCUUGUUCAUUUCUCCUACAAACAAAAAACCUCAGUAACGAACUCCCAUGUAAUUUACUCCCUAUCAUUCAUUUCUUCUGCACGUCUUCGUUUCCAUCGCCGAAAUGGCGUCGCCACCACCUGUUGUAUAAUCAGAAUUUUGUGAUUGGAUUAAAUAUAUUGUACUUGUUCUGUUCAUAUAUGCUCUGUUUUUGAUAAAAACAAGGGAGAAAAAGCAUUAUGUGGCACAGAGUGUAUAUACAAGCACAUACUGAUGGAUGAGAGGAAGGAUAAGUAUUGUAGCUCUAAAGCUUCAAGAUUUGCUAUUGCUCCUGAUAUUUCAAAUUCCCAAAAAUUAACACACUAGCAAAAAAUGACAAACUCAUGGAUAAAAAUCAUAAUCUAAAUACAAAACCCAAAAUGAUGUAGCAAUUUACAAAUGAAAACAUAGCCAAACCCUUCGUUUGUGCUUGUGUGUGCAGUUUACAUACAUUUAGAUCUUAACCCCAAAUCAUCAAACCAACCCAAACAUAAAACAUCCAAUUAUAAACCUCAAGUAGAUCAAUCAUCAUAAUCCAAAAGAACAAACACCAAAAAAUGUAUUUAUUUGGUAAUUGAAAUCGCACACAAAUCUCAAACCGUAAGUUAAUCAACCAAAAUUCUCACAUAAAAUCCAAUCGCUAGCACAAAUCCACUUUUACAACAAAAUUUGAAAAGAAAGAACAUCAGAUCUACAUACAUAUUAAAUGGAAGAUGUAUAACAAUAGCUUAAAAACGAGAGCUAGGAAAAGGAGGAAAAUCAAAAGGCCGAAAUUUCCCCCGACGGGAGAGUAGAGGACGGUGACGGAGGAGACGACGGUGGGGAGAAUCAUCAGGGCGGACAAAAUACCGUACACCUUACGGAUGAAUCCGCAUUGACCCUCAAAUCUUGCUUAAAAUCCCAUCCGAUCAUUCCAUUAGAGCUUGCAAUGUGUGGUUUUGAUUUGGGGCAUGGAGGUUUCGUAUGGCAGAUUAAAAAAUGGUGGAAAGAGAUGAGAGAAAAGCGGAAGGAAAAUAGAUUUUUUAUUAUUAUCAUACUACUGUAAAGAUUUCCUCCUAAAGCUGAUAAAUAUUUCACCAUAAUGUUGAUGACGAAUGAAGUUCAUGCUCAUGUUUUGAUCGACAUAUGCGACUUAUACUUAGUUGUCUAUAAAGUAUUUUAAAAUCGUCGGUGGAUAGGUUUUAGGAGAACCACAUCACAGUGCAUAUGCUACACUUCUUCGGUGCUUAUACCGUCCAUGGAAACUUACUUUAUACAGGAAGAAUUGAGGGAGAGAGGUUACCCCUUACUAGAAGUAGACUGAUCAAAGUUACACGACAUUUGUUCGAACUACAUCCUUUCGAAAUCAUAGAAACCAUAAGAGAAUAAUUCAGAUGUUAUGUGAAGAUAUUAAAUUUAAUAUAAUAUCGGAUCAUAUACAACCAAGAAGUUUAUAUUGAGUGGUGGUCAAGUUGUUAGAAAGGAACGUGUAGGCCUACAACAAUUCUGGGAAAAAAUAUCAGAGUUGUUGUAGGCCUACAAGCUCCUUUUUAACAACCUGACCACCACCCUCACUCGGUGUCAAUAUCAAUUUCUUGGUUGUAAUAGUGGUUGAUAUGAUCCGAUAUUAUAUUAAAUCUAAUACCCUCACACAACAUUUGAAUUAUACAUAAGAGGGCUGCAGCUAUUUUCCUAUGCUUUCUAUGUUUCGAAUUCUCCUUCACGAAAGGAUGUAGCUCGAACAAAUGCCGUGUAGCUUUGACAAACUAUGAUUGCAUAGCUUAUAAGCACCGGAGAAGUAUAGCCUAUGCUAAAUGUGGUUCUGUUAAACCCUAUCCACGGACGAUUUUUAAAUAAAUCGCAUAUGUCGAUCAAAACUUGAGCAUGAAUUUCAUUCGUUAUCAACAUUAUGGCGAAAUAAUAUUUAUUAGCUUUAGGAGAAAUUAAUUGGAGAUGGUACUUCACACAAAGGGUUGGUAAUCAAUUGUGCUAGUCAAUUGGGCCCACCACGUGCUAGAUCCAAAAAAUUAUUACCCAAAACCCAACUUCAAUGUUUCAAAACCCUAACUUCUCUCCUCUUAGUUUUUUCUAUAAAUAUAUAACUAUCACAAAGAAAUAUUCGUCUGAAACAUUUUGUGAUAAAGACCUUAAGGACAUGGAUCACCCGUGUCAUGUUUUUCGACUAUUUUUUCGAUUAUGACUACGAAGAUAAAGUUCCAACAUUGUCCAUUUUCUAGUUUGUAGUUACCUUUAUGGCUGAAUAGCAUUUCCGUCCCUUCAAGUUGUCACCCACUUUCAAAGUCAUUUUUAAAGUUCAUUUUUUAUCAGUUAGAUCCUUAAAGUGACAUUUUUUAGCGUUUCUAUUCCUCCUACCAAUUUAAUUAAUGGUAUUCAAACUGGUGAUUAUCGAAAUCUAUUUAAUCACGAGAAUUUAUUUAUGUCAAAAGAGGGAGGUGGUGCAAGCUACAAUUGGGCUAGUGGAUAUCAUCAGGUUAAUACUUGUUCUUUCUUGUGUCAGAAUUUCUUACAGUCGCUCUUUCUUGUGUCAAAAUUUCUUAUAUUCUUUAGUGCAACUUUAAAAGUUUUGGUUUAUAGCUUGUAAACUUUCGUGGCACAUGUUCUUGCACUUUUGCUUAGUUGGUUGUUAAGAGAACUGUGUUCAUAAAGCUAUAGAUAUUCAAACUUUUCAUUUGUGCAGGGUAAGAGUGUUGAAGAGGAUCUAAUGGACAUAAUUGAUAGAAAAGCAUAUGGAAGUGACAGUUUUGAGGGUUUUGUUUUAUGCCAUUCAAUUGUUGGGGGAAUAGACUCAGGUUUUGACUACUCACCAUUUCUUUCUACCAAAUGUUAAAAUUCUAGCACUUGAAUUUUGUCUUUUUACAGCAUUGCAUAGAAAUAUAUGUUGGUCAUCUGUAUUGGUCUAAUUGAAAAGCCACAGAUUAAGCUUUUAAAUUUCAGAGUUCAUACUUAGUGUUUCCCCGGACCCUCACCUUUUCUUUUUUAAAUUGAAGAGGUGAAACAAAAUAAUAUAUAUAUAUAAUAUAUAUAUAUAUAUAUAUAUAUUAUCUUACAUAUAAUAUUGUAAAAUGUUU